rnacentral:rRNA from 1 species
CCUACGGGUGGCAGCAGUGGGGAAUAUUGCACAAUGGGCGCAAGCCUGAUGCAGCCAUGCCGCGUGUGUGAAGAAGGCCUUCGGGUUGUAAAGCACUUUCAGCGGGGAGGAAGGCGUUAAGGUUAAUAACCUUGUCGAUUGACGUUACCCGCAGAAGAAGCACCGGCUAACUCCGUGCCAGCAGCCGCGGUAAUACGGAGGGUGCAAGCGUUAAUCGGAAUUACUGGGCGUAAAGCGCACGCAGGCGGUCUGUCAAGUCGGAUGUGAAAUCCCCGGGCUCAACCUGGGAACUGCAUUCGAAACUGGCAGGCUAGAGUCUUGUAGAGGGGGGUAGAAUUCCAGGUGUAGCGGUGAAAUGCGUAGAGAUCUGGAGGGAUACCGGUGGCGAAGGCGGCCCCCUGGACAAAGACUGGCGCUCAGGUGCGAAAGCGUGGGGAGCAAACAGGAUUAGAUACCCCGGUAGUC